AUGCCGACGCACGGCGGCGGCUGUGCGGGAUCUCGACGCGGCGUCAUCAAGGCGACAAUUGCUGACAGAGAUGACCCUGGUGAAGCUAUGAGAAAAAAGUUCGAUGGCAUGCAUGAAAAAUUGGAGUCUGCUGCGAAUUCUGAAGAUUGGAAUAGUGUUCUCAGAAUAGUAGAGAAGCUGAUUCUUCCUCCUGAUAGUGAACCAAGGGAAUACGUAAUGAAAUUGGACCAAGAUCUGCAGAAGAUCGCAGCUUUGCAACCAAAAGACUGGCUUGUGAACAAGCUGAAGAAGCAGAACUCAGUUCCAUCAUAUGAAAAUCCUGUCCUAAAAUAUUCUGAUUUACAACAGAAGAUUCACAAGCUAUCAGAAGAACAAAGGCCUGUGAGCCUUGCGUUGGGAGAUUUUAAACUUGAUCUGAUUGAGAUGGCUUUUUUGAACCCAAGCCAAGAAGGUUCUCUAAGUAAUUUUAUCAGCUACUUCAGUGAUCGGCUGUGUAACAAUGACCAAAAUUUUACAUUUCGACAUGGAAAAGAAUCAUGUCACCUAUUGGAAUACCAGACACCUAAUAAACAGCAACCCAGAUGGAUGUUGAUUAAAAUGAAGAAAGAUAAUGCUCGAGCCGAGAUUUACAUUAGGAGCGAUCACUUCUACCUUUGUGCUUUCAGUAACAAAAAGGGUGAAAUCUUUGAGCUUGUGAAGGAAGAUUGUCUGCGAAUAAUCAAAAGUUCUGUUGCAUUUGGCUGUAGCACAGACUACCCAAGCAUACUGAACGACGAAAGACCUCGACUGAUUCCAGAAGGUGAAUGUGAAAAGAGGUUGUUGGACAUAAUUCUAAAUAUGGAGGAAUUUUCACAUGGCAUCGAAGUGCUGUCAAACUAUGACCACAGUAUUCUGUCAAAACAUGAUGUGAGUGAGGCUGAAAAACAACGACUCAUUCAAGAAGUGCAAGAGGCAUUAGCUUGGAAUGUAGUGGUUUUAGCUGAAGUUUCAUGCAUCGUUAACCUAUUUCUAUCCGUCAAUGGAAACUGGAAAGAGAGUUGUUCAAGCUUGACAAAACUCUUGUAUGAGUAUAUGAUGCAUUGGAAGGUAAUGUUAAAUAAGGCCCGCAACGGUGCCAUUGAUGCCAAGUUUGAGGACAACAUAGUGGCUAAAAUCUUGCUGCGAUUUAGAUGUGAAGCAAUUAAGGUGCUUAAUCUGCUGUGCAACGCAGAGGGUCCUGGAAUUAUUAAGAAUGGUGAAGAUGGCAAAGGAUCAGAGGAAGAUUCUGGACCAUCUCGUGGUAAUGACAAAGAGCAAAAGACAUCUGGAUCUAGCUCUGGACUGUCUGGACAUGGUAAGGACAAAGAAACAAACACACCUGGAUCUGGACCACUUGAUAGUUAUGAUGACAACCUGGAGGGUGACCGUGAUGGUGGAAAACAGAAGGAAAAUUAUAAUGAUAGCAGGCCAGGGACGAGUGAGAUGAGCAAAAUAGCAAUGGAUUUCAUGGGAGGAUUGAUAGUUGGCAAGAACUGGGUUCAGCCUUUGAUCAAGAAAAGAAGCAUGGAACCUUUUGUCAUCACAAAAAGAGGGGUGGAAUCUUUGAUCACCAGCAGAAGAAGCGUGGAACCUUUGAUGGUGCCAUUGCUACCUGAUUCUCUAGGAUCUGCAUAUGCAAGUGGUUUGGGUCAGGUCUUGUCAUUAGUACCUGAUUCUUCGAUGUCACAUGUACGUGGUUUGGAUCCGAUGCUGGUUAACUUCAUCAAGAAUUCGCCUGAGGAAGAUAUGGUUAACUUCAUCAAGAAUUCUAUCCCCUCACAACCAUAUUUUCCUACAGGCCAGACUCUCUUAGAAUUUUUUUCUAUCCACACAAAUUUGUGCUUAAUAAAGACUAUCAUACUUUAUGAUAAUCGCGGUGGUACUUUAAUCUACGAGUCCAAGGAAGGAGAAAAGGACGAGUUUAUUAAAAGACGCUCCAUUUGGUUAUCAGAGGAUAUAGGAAGAAAACCUUAUGCUUUCAUGGAAUCUCUUGUUCUCAAAGGCCCGAGCCGUCCCAUGACUGCUCAUGAUGGGUACUGGAUCAUUCAAAUUGAUGUUCCGGUUGAAUCAUCUUUCGAGCCUGAACACCACCCUGAAAUACCUGGUCGAGUAUUAUAUUUGAAUGAUGAUUUCCUUGACAAACCCAGGGGCAAUUUAAUUUCUAUCAGAGGUGGCCUUGUUAACAUCACAUCAGUGACUUUCAGCAAUGCAGUUCGCUCUUCAAUCCGAUUUUUACUUUGUUCUCACCAAGAUGGCAGUUUUACUAAAGUGGAGGGCGAGCUUAUAUUAUCUGUUGAAAAUUAUCCAUUUGGCUUCACUAUUUUCAAAAAUCAAGUCGAGGAUGAUGCUGUUCAUUUCUUUAGACAGAGUGGCACAGUAUUUGAACUUCCGUUGACUCGGCAUGUUCUUGCACUGCCUAUAGGAUCUCGUGUACAUGUCUUGGGGACUUUGAAACUAGCGACCUUGAAAGUGUUUGUAGAUCAGUAUCUGGUGCUCGACAAGAAUGUUGCAUGGGCUGGAUGGACUGUGGAGACGGGUCUGUAUGCUGCUAUAUGCAUUGAGGCAAGUUCUUUUCUCUAG
rnacentral:rRNA from 1 species